rnacentral:sRNA from 2 species
AUUCUGCCCAAGCGGGGAAGGAUGAGAAGCUUCGACCAAGGUUCGACUUGAGCGCCAGCGAGAGAGCGUUGCCGCAGGCAACGACC